GACGAACGCUGGCGGCGUGCUUAACACAUGCAAGUCGAACGGAAAGGCCCCCUUGUGGGGUACUCGAGUGGCGAACGGGUGAGUAACACGUGAGUAACCUACCCUUGACUUUGGGAUAACUUCAGGAAACUGGGGCUAAUACCGGAUAGGAGCUCCUGCUGCAUGGUGGGGGUUGGAAAGUUUCGGCGGUUGGGGAUGGACUCGCGGCUUAUCAGCUUGUUGGUGGGGUAGUGGCUCACCAAGGCUUUGACGGGUAGCCGGCCUGAGAGGGUGACCGGCCACAUUGGGACUGAGAUACGGCCCAGACUCCUACGGGAGGCAGUAGUGGGGAAUAUUGCACAAUGGGCGGAAGCCUGAUGCAGCAACGCCGCGUGCGGGAUGACGGCCUUCGGGUUGUAAACCGCUUUCGCCUGUGACGAAGCGUGAGUGACGGUAAUGGGUAAAGAAGCACCGGCUAACUACGUG
rnacentral:rRNA from 1 species